rnacentral:rRNA from 1 species
GACGAACGCUGGCGGCGUGCUUAACACAUGCAAGUCGAACGGAAAGGCCCUGCUUUUGUGGGGUGCUCGAGUGGCGAACGGGUGAGUAACACGGGAGUAACCUGCCCUUGACUUUGGGAUAACUUCAGGAAACUGGGGCUAAUACCGGAUAGGAGCUCCUGCUGCAUGGUGGGGGUUGGAAAGUUUCGGCGGUUGGGGAUGGACUCGCGGCUUAUCAGCUUGUUGGUGGGGUAGUGGCUUACCAAGGCUUUGGCGGGUAGCCGGCCUGGGAGGGUGACCGGCCACAUUGGGACUGAGAUCCGGCCCAGACUCCUCCGGGAGGCAGCAGUGGGGAAUAUUGCACAAUGGGCGGAAGCCUGAUGCAGCACCGCCGCGUGCGGGAUGACGGCCUUCGGGUUGUAAACCGCUUUCGCCUGUGACGAAGCGUGAGUGACGGUACUGGGUAAAGAAGCACCGGCUAACUACGUG